GAUCUUGAAGAGCAGAUUCCUUCCAUUGUUAUAAAAAAGGAUGGAGAAAUUCCUGAGAAGAAGUUUUUAAGUACUGCUAAUUUGGCAAGGAAGCACCGUGGGUGAGUAAGCAGGAAGGCUGGCUUCACUGAAAUAGCCUGGGAACAAGAUGUCAGAGGUGGCAGGUGGCGGUUCUAUGCUAAGGACAUCUGUUUCCUUGCAGUGUCAGCUCCGAUGCUAACGUGAGGUUAGUUCCAUUCCUUUCGGCACUUGGUUUUGGGAAUCUGAAAAGUCUGAGUAUUCGGGGUAACAGUGCACAUACCAGGGAGAGGGCCCAUCCAACUACUCUGGCCUCAGAAUUUUCUUUUUUUAAUUAAAAAUUCUUCUUGGGAAAUUUCAUAGGGAGAGUACGGGCAGGUGGUGUUAAGAGUGGGGGGAGAAAAAUCUUCUUUGUCCCUUGGGGACUAAGAGCAACGCCUGUUCUACCGAGAUUUGUGGUCCAAUUUAUCUUCCUUAAAUGACCACAUAGGAAAAUGAUGACAGCAGCGAAGCGACAUUAGAAAUGUGAAAUGGAUAAAUAAAACGUGGGUGAGCACUCUGGCUGUUGAACCCACUUGAAAAAUGGAGAUCUAAAGAGCACACAAACCAAACUAGAAGAGGCCUUUAGAAGGAAGGCACCGGAACAAAUGUCAAAUGUUUAUCGGAACAAAAAGAGAAACUGAUGUGCACAAGCCCUCAGGCCCCUUGCAGGGUCCUUUCUUCUUGAGCAAGGCUGAACAUUUCCACAGGUCAUUUCCCCGCAGUAGUUCUAGCUGCUUCUAGUAAUGACGGAGCAGCGCGUAGCGAUCGGAGCGGAAGGGGCCUUCGAGGUCACACUUUAUAGUCCGACCACUUCACGCUGCAAAUGAGAAGCCAGGCCCAGAGAGAUGAAGUGGCAUGGCCUGAUAUUUGAUGUGUGUUUUCUUGGGGGAUGUUUACAGAAAUCAAAUCAUCUCCCAGAUCGGCGUGCGGGCUGAAGCAGCGGCAACCACCCACAUCCGCGAACCCUACUACGGUCCGGACACCGGAGAGGGGCCAACAUGAUGUCAUCCAGUCUUCACAGCAGCCGCCAACAGCGAGACUCAUGGACACGCUGGGGGACACUCAUGGAUUCCUUCCCGUCCACUCCUUCCUUCCACAUGUGGAAGCUCAGGCAGAGAGAAGUCAAGUCGCUUGCCCAAGGUCUGUGAGUCUUAAUAUUUAAAUGCUGAAGAUAAACUCCAAGCCCUUCGAAGCACGGCCCUUUUGAUUUUGCGCCAACCGCCGGUGCACCCAGUGAAGAACUUGUCCUUCACUCGAUGAGUUAGAGCUUCACCGAGGGCACAGGUUGAAAAGUCCAGUUUAGUAAACACGGGCAUUAGCAGUAACCCAAUUCCGUGCGUGCUUCCUGGGUUCCAAGCACUAUGCUGAAUGCUUUACAGGGGCGAUUUAGCCUCUACUGUAAGCCUGCGGUACAGGUAAUAGCAUCAAUCUUAUUUCUGUUCUAAGGAAUAGGAGCUCCAGAGGACUGAGCCUCGUGCCCCUAGAUGCACAGCCAGCUGGCAAGCGGCUGAGUCUUAGCACUGGAAAGGACUCACAGCGCCAACUCACCCACAGGCAGAAUUUUAUUCCCAGAGAGUCAAGAAACUUGCCUGAGGUAAGAAGGGAGAGCCAAACUAUAACAGACUCUUAAAAACUGAGAACAAAUGGAGGGUUGAUGGGGGGUGGGAGGGAGGGGGGGGUGAGUUGAUGGGCAUUGAGAAGGGCACCUGUUGGGAUGAGCACUGGGUGUUGUAUGGAAACCAAUCUGACAAUAAAUUUCAUAUUAAAAAAAAAAAAGGAAGAAGA
rnacentral:lncRNA from 1 species